AUCCCCUUGGGGACAUCCCGGUGGGGACAUCCAUGGGGUUACCCCAGUGGGGACAUCCCGGUGGGGACAGGUCCAGCCCUUGGGGACAUCCAUGGGGUCACCCGAGGUCACCUCCUUGGGAACAUCCCAUAGGGGACAUCCCCCAUUAG
rnacentral:lncRNA from 1 species